GGUCUUGCUCUGUUGCCCAGGCAGAAGCACAGUGGUGUGAUCAUGGCUCACUGCAGCCUCAACCUCCUGAGCUCAAGUGAUCCUUCCAUCUCAGCCUCCUGAGUAACUGGGACCACAGGCAGAUGCCACCAUGCCCAGUGACUCCAUUCACAUGCUCCUGUCUUGUCAUCAAGCCCUGUUCAUCUCUCACCGUCUCUCACCUGGACCAUUGCCAGUUUCUGAGCUGCCUGCUCUUGAAUACCAGCUUCCUGAAAAUAUCACCAAAACGAUCUGGUCAUAAGACAAAGCAGAGUCUAUUGCUCACUGCAGUAACAGAGAGCUCCGUCUUCAGAGUCAUGGUAACAUUUCGGUGAGAGGACAACCCAAUCACACUGUUUAGGAGAUUUUGGAUUCUGACUAAGAGUCUCACUCUGUGUUCCAAGCUGGACUGCAGUGGUGUGAUCUGAGCUUAAUGCAGCCUCCACCUCCAGGGUUCAAAGGAUUCUCAAGCCUCAGCCUCCCGAGUAGCUGGGAUUACAGGUGCACACCACCACACCCAGCUAAUUUUUGUAUUUUUAGUAAAGAUGGAGUUUUGCUAUGUUGGCCAGGCGGGUCUCCAACUCCUGGCCUCAAGCGAUCUACCCACCUCAGCCUCCCAAAGUGCUGGGAUUACAGGCAUGAGCCACUGCGCUGGGCCUUUAUCGAGCUUUUUAAGUGAUUCUGAUGCAUCCUCAAGUCUGAGAACCACUGGAAUAGACAAAUGUUUAUUGACAUGAAAAGUCCACAAUACAAUGAGUUAAAUAAGAACACACUGCAAAAGAAUAUAUACAGUGUGAUCCUAGUUUUGAAAUAUUUACACAUAUGUGAAUGUAUAAAAACAGAUCUGUAAAGCUAUACUUUAAAAUGGUAUUGUGUCUGGAAUUAGUGGGUUAUUGGUCUCACUGACUUCAAGAAUGAAGCCGCGGACCCUCGCAGUGAGUGUUACAGUUCUUAAAGGCAGCGUGUCCGGAGUUUGUUCCUUCUGAUGUUCGGAUGUGUUCAGAGUUUCUUCCUUCUGGUGGGUUCGUGGUCUUGCUGGCUCAGGAGUGAAGCUGCGGACCUUUCUGGUGAGUGUUACAGCUCUUAAGGCGGCCCGUCUGGCGUUGUUUGUUCCUCCCGCUGGGCUCGUGGUCUCGCUGGCUUCAGGAGCGAAGCUGCAGACCUUCGCAGUGAGUGUUACAGCUCGUAAAGGCAGUGUGGACCCAAAGAGUGAGCAAUAGCAAGAUUUAUUGCAAAGAGCGAAAGAACAAAACUUCCACAGUGUGAAAGGGGACCCCAGCCGAUUGCCCCUGCUGGCUAGGGCAGCCUGCUUUUAUUCUCUUAUCUGGCCCCACCCACAUCCUGCUGAUUGGUAGAUCCGCGCGGUCUGUUUUGACACGGUGCUGAUUGGUGCCUUUACAAUCCCUGAGAUAGACACAAAGGUUCUCCAGUCCCCACCAGAGUAGCUAGAUACAGAGUGUCCACUGUGCAUUCACAAACCCUGAGCUAGACACAGGGUGCUGAUUGGUGUGUUUACAAACCUUGAGCUAGAUACAGAGUGCCGACUGGUGUAUUUACAAUCCCUGAGAGAGACAUAAAGGUUCUCCACGUCCCCACCAGACUCAGGAGCCCAGCUGGCUUCACCCAGUGGAUCCCACACGGGGGCUGCAGGUGGAGCUGCCUGCCAGUCCCGCGCUGUGCGCCUGCUGCUCAGCCCUUCGGUGGUUUAAUGGGACUGGGCGCCAUGGAGCAGGGGGCGGUGCUUGUCGGGGAGGCUCCGGCGGCACAGGAGCCCACGGUGGGGCGGCGGGGGGAGGCUCAGGCAUGGUGGGCUGCAGGUCCCGAGCCCUGCCCCGCAGGAAGGCAGCUAAGGCCCAGCGAGAAAUUGAGCACAGCAGCUGCUGGCCCAGGUGCUAAGCCCCUUACUACCCGGGGCCGGUGGAGUCCGCCGGCCCCUCUGAGUGCGGGGUCCGCUGACCCUACCCACCCGGAACUCGCGCUGGCCCGCAAGCACGGCGCGCAGCCCCGGUUCCCGGCCGCGCCUCUCCCUCCACACCUCCUCGCAAGUUGAGGGAGCCGGCUCCGGCCUUGGCCAGCCCAGAAAGGGGUUCCCACAGCGCAGCGACGGGCUGAAGGGUUCCUCAAGUGCCGCCAAAGUGGGAGCCCAGGCAGAGGAGGCGCCAAGAGCAAGCGAGCACUGUGAGGACUGCCAGCACGCUGUCACCUCUCAGUAACAAUUGUUAUCACCGGGUGCCUGGAGCAAAAAUGUGUCCAGAAUUGGUGGGUUGUUGGUCUCGCUGACCUCAAGAACAGAGCCGUGGACCCUCGCAGGACAAGGGGAGUCAGAGGCAGAAGAGAAGGUGUUGUGAUGACAGAAGCAGAGAUCUGAGUAACUCACUUUGAAGAUGGAGGAAGAGGUCACAGGCCAAGUGACACAGAUGCCAGGAGAAGCUGAAAACAGGAGGAAAUGGAUUCUUCCCUCAGAGCUUCUGCAAAAGAUCAGUCUUGAUGAUACCUCGACUUUAGCCCACUGAAACUGAUUUUCAACUUUUGACUUCCAGAACUGGUCUCAUUAUUGUUGCCCAGACUCAUCUCAAACUCCUGGCUCAAAUGAUCCUCCCACCUCAGCCUCCUGUAUAGCUGGGAUUACAGGUGCAUGCCACCAUGUCCAGCUUUACUAAAUAAAUGGUCACAUAUCCAUCUCUGAGUCUGUCACUGGGAGAAUGGGAUGCUUUUUUGGGCCAGGCCUGACUUACAUACCCAUCUGGGACAAUAGGACUUUCUAUGGGGACAACUUCAUCUGUACAUGGACAGAGACUGAAGAAUGGAGGCUGGAGUGCAGUGGUGCAAUCAUGGCUCACUACAACCCCGACCUCCUGGGCUCAAGCCAUCCUCCUGCCUCAGCCUCUCAAGUAGCUGGGACUACAGGUGUGUGCCACCAUGCCUAGCUAAUUUUUAAAUUUUUUUGUAGAGACAAGGUUUCACCAUCUUGCCCAGGCUGGUCUUGAACUCCUGAGCUCAAGUGUUCCUCCUGCAUCAGCCACUCAAAAUGUUGGAAUUACAGGUGUGAACCACCGUGCCUGGCCUACAAUUUUUGAAUACAUAUUUUGAGGAGAAAUUAAAAUUAGAAACGUAGCAAGAGUUUCUUUAUGUACUUCCUUUACUUAUAUCCUAAGUGAUAUUCAAUUUCAAAGUCAUUCUGAUUGUCAAAAGAUAUUUCUUCAGCAAAUACUGCUAUGACAGUUACUCUUGAUUUCUUAGAUCAUUUUUCACUGAAGAGAACAGAAAAGGUAAGGGAGGAUGAAAGCUGUAUCUGGACUAUAAGGAAAGUAAAUAUUAUCGAGGGCUGAAUUUAUUGUUCAUUUUCUUUCCUGCUUGAUCAAUGCUCCUUUCCUGGUAUCAUGUUCUCCAAACUUCAGGUGAAUGGAUCAACCCUUUCCCUAUUCUCGGUUUGGAGAAAGUGUUUUCCUGGGUUAUAUUUUUCAUUUAUAAGAUAUCCCCACCUAUUGAAGGUGGGGGAUUGGGGUGAGGCUAUUUUUGCUUCAGAACUCAUUGGUCAUUCCAUUGUUCCUCAAGAGUGGCUCCACUAUGCAAAGUGAGGGCUGGCUGGUUCUGGAGCUGGUCUUUCUCAGGCCCUAUCAUGCCCUCUACACCUCACCUGUGUGCCCCGCUGAGAGCCUGCUUAGGCUUCAAGGCCAACUCAGAUGCCCUAACUGGAAAUCUCUUGAUCUUGCCUGGUAUUUAAUUCCACUUCUUUUUGAAAACUAAUUUUCCUUUGCAGAAACACCACUCCCCUACUUCAGUCACUAUGGCUUGGUUGGGGCUGAUUCCCUUCUCUCUCUCCAAGGGUAAACAUACGACCCAGGCCCAACUAAGCCUGCAUAAUCCACCCCUUCAGUUACAAUGGUUGGCUCAUAGACAGGCAACUAAGCCGGUCCAGUGACAUGCAGCCCUGGGUCUUCUGCUGGGAUUAAUGGGAAGGAGGUGACCCUUUCCAGUAGGCUGAAUCCCAGUUUGUGUGAUUUCAAAGACAAUGAGGUAGUACAGAAAUUGUCUCAUCAGCUCGGGGAAGUGAGAAUUUACUAACCCCCUCCUCAGAGAUUGGAGGGGGCACAGAGAAAUGAUGGUGGGAGUUUGUAGUCUGAGAUUGAAACCAGGCUUUGAAUAAUGUGAGUUGUGCUAGUUGAAGUCAUGGAGAAAUAGCAGAAAAGGCUCCGUCUGAACAUUGAGAAACACCUUCCCUAACGGGUAAGAGAAAACAGAGGAGCUCAAAGAGGAACUUGCAGAAGGCACCAGAGGUAUGGUGGGCACAGUUUCCAGGCAGCCUUCAAUCAUCCCUAUCUCCUGAUAGUUACACCCUGUGUCCUACUCUCCUUUUGAGUGUGGCUAGAUCUAGUGACUGACUGCUUUUAAAUUUUUUUUUUUUUUUUUAAUUUUUACUUUCUGGAGAUAGGGUCUUGCUCUGUCACCCAGGCUGGAGUGCAGUGGGGCAAUCAUGGCUCACUGCAGCCUUGACCUCCCAGGCUCAAGAGAUUCUCCUACCUCAGCCUCCUGAGUAGCUGGGACCACAGGCAAGUGCCAUCUCGCCUGGCUAAUUUUUAUAUUUUUUGUGGAGACACGGUCUUGCCAUGUUGCCCAGGCUUGUUUCAAGCUCCUGAGCUCAAGCUAUCCACUUGCCUCAGCCUCCCAAAUUGCUGAGAUUACAAGAAUGAGCCACUGUGCCUGUGACUUACUUCUAACCCACAGAAUAGAGCAACAGUGAGAGGAUGUCAAUUCUGUGAUAGAUUGCAAAAUAUUGUAAGUUCCUAGCAGUCUUUCUCAUUGGUUUCAAUAAAAAAAAGCUGCCAUGCUGGAGGGACCCAUGAGGCAAAGAACUGAGAGCAGCCUUUAGCUAACAGCCAGCAAGGAAUGAGGCGCUUGGUCCAGCAAUCAUAGAGAAACUGAAUCCCGCUGAUGAUCAUGAGGGUGAGCUUGGAAGCAGAUUCUGUCCCAGAUGAACUUUGAUUGUGUCUUGUUAGAAACCCUGGACCAACUCCUUGAUUGCACCUGUGAGAGGCCCUGAAGCGGAGGACCCAGCUAAGUACUCCAGCACUUUCACAGUCAUUUACGGCAUCUGCAGAGCAGUGAAAAAUUUGAAUUGCCUGAGAUACAUGCUCCCUGCUGAAGUCGCACAAGGUAAAGCUCUGUCUUCUUGUUUCAGCUCUCAGCAACAAGUAUCCUUUUCACAGUCCAUGUAGUUUCCUGUAUUUGUGUUUUUGUUUUUUGCAUUGUUGCGCUUUUUGUUGAUUUUACUGUUUAAAAUGGCCCCCAAGCUAGUGGGGGCUAUUUGGUAUUCCUAAAUGCAAGGAGGUUGUGAUGUGCCUUAUGGAGAAAAUACCUGUUGCAGAAGCUUCAUUCAAGCGUGAGUUACGUUCAGGCUGUUGGCUGUGAAUUCAGUGUUAUCAAGUGAACGAUAUACAUUAAAUACAAUAUCUUUAAACUGAAAAACACAUAGAACAAACUUAUGUAUUGACCGGUUGCCCGAGAAGCAAUGGAUCAGUAUUCACUAACUCAGUGUUCUUGGUGACUUUAUAGGACAUAACUACUGUGGAAAAUGAGAGUCAACUGUAAUUUGUUAAUACAGCAAUAGAUAUUGAAUACUGUGGGAAAGCAGAGUAAUUCAGCUCACUGGUCUAAGGAGGAAGUUUCACAAGGAAAGCGUGAUCCAGUGUUAAGGGCUAUAGGUCUCUCACUAGAGGUAAGGCUAGAGAGAUCAUGGGUAGCAGUUAUUGGUGUCUAAUGUCUAAGUAUCAUUGGAAUGGUUAUAUAUUGAGAAGAAAUAAUUUUGUCUGGUUAAAGAGGGUUAUUUUGAAUGGAUGUGAAUGAAACUAUCUAGGAAAAUCAGGCUCGUGAGGCAAUCUGCUUGCUCCGUAAAGCCCACAGCUGUGUGAGGAUUGAUGCGUCAAAAGGCACCAGCUCUGAAUUAAAAGUUCCAUGACUGCACAGGAUGACGCAACCCAGGGCGGGCUUCUGGCACGCUGCAGCACAUGGACACAGCCAGCACAGGGACACUGCACACACAAGAGAAGCUGUAGAAGGGAAUGGCUCCUCAGGGACCCACAGUGCCCCACCACAGCUUUUCUGUAAUCUAUGACUGAAAGUCUUGGCUUCCACGACUGAAGUUGUCUUCAUUUUAUUUAUUUUUAACUUCAGCUUAUAAAAGGCCCCUUAUGAUUUUGAUUUUUAAUUAGGCUCCCAACUUUAUCCCUGAUCUCCAUGCCCUACCCUUACCUAAAUGAGUGUGUUAAGUCGUUAAAUACACAUGGAUUUUGGAUAAUACGUAGUUUUGUGUGUGUAUGUUUAACAGUUAUGUAAGUGGCACUGUGCUAUAAACAUCAAGUUUGUUCUUUUUCCACUCUACCCUAUGAUUUAAGUAUUGCUUUAUGAACAUAUAGUAUGUUGCUUCUCACAGCUGUGGUAUACUAAAAGGUGUAUUCAGCACGAUUUACCCAGCCCUUUCCCUAGUGCUGGACACCUAGCCCACCUCCAGUUUCCACCACCAUAGUUAGGUACGAGAGCAGAAUGAAUGUAGCAGUACGUCUUGUAGUUGAAUGUCCUUCCUUUGCCUGCAAUUACUUGUCAGCCUUUUCUUCUGUUUCUUCCCUUUCUUGGGUAGAGGACAGUAUCUACCAGAACUCAUUUUUAGAUCAUGAGAACAUGCAAUGUCUCACUUCUUGUAGAGCAAUUUCUCCUUUGGCUAGUCCAACAACUUUCUCAGAGGUACACAUGUGUUUAUUAAGUUAAAAAAAAUAGCACAGUGGUAAUUCUCAACUCUGGUUUUGCCUGAAGGUUGUGAAAAUGGGGAAAAAACCCCAACUAAAAAUAAAAUGAUAUUUAAUACAUUUUAAUUUAAAAAUAAAUAUAUGCCAUAAAAAGGCAAGGGGAAGAGAGAGGAAAAGACAAAAAUCAAGUAACCAUGAAACAUGGAGAUGUUUCCAAAGUAAGAAAUCGCUUAUCCAGAGAGUAAACAACAGUUUGAAAGCUUGGUGUAUUGAACUCUGAGAUAGGAAAGGCAAAAAUGAAGAGAGAAUAAAGUUUGGGUGUACAGAAAAACCAAAAUGUAUACAGUCCUCCAGUACCAAGUGCCAAGCUAGAUUGAUGUUGAGAUAAAACUGCUGCAAAGUGAAGCCAGAGAAAAAUUCUUGCUGACUCAAAGAAAGAAAACCAUCACAUGCAGAAUCAAUUUUUAUUUCUGAAUUAUACAGUGAGGCUAUAUAGAUAUAUUGUGUCAUUAAAGACUUUUAUAUUAUUAAUCUACAUUAUGGAGAAUUUAUUUACCAAAACGAAGUCUAACAGACACUUUAUUCUGAGCAAUCCAAUACAUGAUAGAAAAACCUUUAGAUAUAUAAAAGAUUAAUUUGUGCACAUCUAAAUGUUUCUAAGGGAACAAACUACUGAGGCAUUGUGAUAAGACGAGAGUUGCAAACAUAG